UGGGUUCAGAACGUCGUGAGACAGUUCGGUCCAUAUCCGACGUGGGCGUAGGAAAUUAGAGAGGAGCUGUCCUUAGUACGAGAGGACCGGGAUGGACAUACCUCUGGAGUACCAGUUGUCGUGCCAACGGCAUAGCUGGGUAGCUAUGUGUGGACGGGAUAAGUGCUGAAAGCAUCAAAGCAUGAAGCCCCCCACAAGAUGAGAUUUCCCAACUAGGUUUAUAAGAUCCCUCAAAGAUGAUGA
rnacentral:rRNA from 1 species